rnacentral:lncRNA from 1 species
UCAGGUGGAUACAGCUGGUCCCUGGGAAAAUGGCAAAGGGGAACUCCGGGUGAGGACGACAAGAGCUGAGCUCGGGUGCUUGCCUUCUGCACUCUCGGGAGGAGGCACCAGCAUGGGCACCCUUCACAGUUCGGGCCCCUCACUCACAAACGUCUGGCACAUGGAAACAAGCUGGCAAAAAGAUUGUUUUUUUCUUCUGUACUUUUUGUUAUAAGCCUGUGGUGAAGUGUCCAUAUCUGGCAUAAAUGAAUGUGAGUGGUCUUGGGAAUCUAAAUAUAACAUGUUUCUA